GUGAGCCGUGUGAUGGGAAACCUUCUCGCACAGUUCGGAGAGCACUGAAUUAGAAUGAGAGGUUCACCACCACAUCAUUGCAUGCAAAGGGGAGCUCGCUCAAUUCACAAAUUGGUUUGACUCAUAAUUCACUUAUGACCAUGU
rfam:Picea glauca, whole genome shotgun sequence.